UUAGAGUUUGAUCCUGGCUCAGGAUGAACGCUAGCGGCAGGCCUAAUACAUGCAAGUCGAGGGGCAGCAGGAGUAGCAAUACUCGCUGGCGACCGGCGCACGGGUGCGUAACACGUAUACAAUCUGCCUUUAACGGGGGGAUAGCCCGGAGAAAUCCGGAUUAAUACCCCAUAAUAUAUUUGUCGGCAUCGAUAUAUUUUGAAAGCUCCGGCGGUUAAAGAUGAGUAUGCGUCUGAUUAGCUAGUUGGUGAGGUAACGGCUCACCAAGGCGACGAUCAGUAGGGGAUCUGAGAGGAUUACCCCCCACGCGGAUACUGAGACACGGAUCCGACUCCUACGGGAGGCAGCAGUAAGGAAUAUUGGACAAUGCCCGCAAGGGUGAUCCAGCCAUGCCGCGUGCAGGAAGACGCCCCUAUGGGUUGUAAACUGCUUUUACACCGGAGAACACCCCACUACGUGUAGUGGGCUGAUAGUAUGGUGAGAAUAAGCAUCGGCUAUCUUCGUGCCAGCAGCCGCGGUAAGACGAAGGAUGCAAGCGUUAUCCGGAUUCAUUGGGUUUAAAGGGGAGCGUAGGUGGUCUUAUA
rnacentral:rRNA from 1 species